UAAAAUGAAUUUCACCUCCUCUUACUCCCUGUGGGUUUAUUUGGUGAAACCCUAAUCUGAUAAUUCCGUCUCCUCCAGAUUCGGCUGCAUCUACCUUCUUGCAGUCCGUCGAGGGGGUCGGAUCUCUUCGGCCAGUGCUGAUCUCGACCUCCUCGAGUCCAUGGCCUUCGGCACUGUCUCGUUCGAAGAGCUCCUCGGCCACUGCAACGAGGUAUUCAAGAACAACCAGAGAUGCACCGUCGACCUUGAGAAGCGGAUGCAGAGCUUAGGCUACGUCACUAGUGAGCACCGAGCCACUGACGCGAAUUCCUAGAGUCAUCGUUUGCUUUUCUGCUACUCUGAUUUGUGUUGUUGCGCAGAGGUGGAGUUGGAAGAUGAGGAGAUUUUGGACGAUUCGAAGUUUACGAGCCCCGUGAGUGGGUUUCAGAGACCUUUCUUUGAGUUUGUCUCAGUUUCUGUUGUUCAGUUGAGCAAGAAGGGGCCAGAAGAGUAUAUCUUUUUAUUCAGAUUGACAUGCAAUUUAGAAAUAGAAAACCGAUUCAAAUUGGUUGAAUCACGAGUAGAAGGUUAGGGGAUUCCUUCUGUAAGCUUGCAAGUUCUUGCUCUCACAUUUAACUUGAUCCUAUAAUAAAAUAUCUGAGACAACUUUGCCUGGAUAUCCAAAACUUGCCCUGCAUGCUACAGAUUCAUACACAAUGAAGAAAUUUCAGUUGCCAGAAAUGCUGCCAAAGCAAUAGUGCAUGCAUCUAAAGAGGACUACAAUGACCUGCCUGCCUUCAUGAAAAAUCUGGUAGUGUGCGAGGAGUUGCAGGAAGCUGCGGUCAAGAUCAACUCUUUCCUCUCUAUACAUGAGCAAAAUGAUGUCUUUAGGCAAGAUGAGCUUGAAAAAAUGGUGCUCGGUCUACCCAAGUUUAGAAAUGUGGAAGAGAUGAGGUUGUUUCACCAAUGAAGAGCAAUGACGAUGAGCAGCGCCGCCUCUGUCUUUUCAAAGUCCCCCAGGUUGAUCGUUUCACACUGGUUGGUGUGAUUGGGGUGUGCCUGCAGAAUGCAUCAGUUCUCCUCCCUCUCUCGCUACGCAGUACAUGAGCCCCUGGAGAUGUCUCCUGCCUCGCUGAGAUAGCUCACAUCUCCCUUGCUUCAGGAGAGGUGCCAACCUUCCUACAUGAUGUUUUUGAACCCUCUUACUCUUUCAUGAAAGAUAAUCUCUCUCCUAUUUUUUUAGCGGGUAGACAAGUUGUAGGCUGAUAAACACAAUCACCUUAAUUGGUUCAUGCUUUUUGUGUUCUUGCCUAAGCUUGAGAUGAUUAAUGUUAAGAACAUACAUUAUUUGGCUAUCAUGGUAAGUAUGCUUAACCUUAUGCAA